rnacentral:rRNA from 1 species
ACUCCUACGGGAGGCAGCAGUGGGGAAUAUUGCACAAUGGGGAAAGCCAUCGAUGCAGCAACGCCGCGUGAGUGAUGACGGUCUUCGGAUUGUAAAGCUCUGUCUUCAGGGACGAUAAUGACGGUACCUGAGGAGGAAGCCACGGCUAACUACGUGCCAGCAGCCGCGGUAAUACGUAGGUGGCAAGCGUUGUCCGGAUUUACUGGGCGUAAAGAGCUCGUAGGCGGUUUGUCACGUCUGCUGUGAAAAUCCAAGGCUCAACCUUGGACUUGCAGUGGGUACGGGCAGGCUAGAGUGCGGUAGGGGAGAUGGGAAUUCCUGGUGUAGCGGUGGAAUGCGCAGAUAUCAGGAGGAACACCAAUGGCGAAGGCACAUCUCUGGGCCGUAACUGACGCUGAGGAGCGAAAGCGUGGGGAGCGAACAGGAUUAGAUACCCUGGUAGGUCAGUC